rnacentral:lncRNA from 1 species
CAGAAGGACCUGGAGGGACGGGAAUAAUUCUUCCUCCCCUACGUGGGCUACACCUAACUGGCAGUGCCAGUUAAUAGGAAAAUUUUAAUCUGAAGGCUGUGGGGACCUGGAGGCAAUCUGCCCCGCGUGGACUUGGAGCUCCCUCCGGCUGCAGUCGGACUGCCUGCUUCUCCAGGGACCAACAUGGCAGAGGCGCGAGAUCACCCCUUCAAGGGCCUUGCAAAUCAGUAACUAACACUUAUCAGCCUUUAGCCCGUUUUGAUCCUACAUGAUUUUGACCUUAUGGCUUGACUUUGGAAUCUUCCGUCUAUAAAAGCAUGGCUC